GCCCAGGUGGUGAAAUUGGUAGACACGCCAUCUUGAGGGGGUGGUGCGAGUAAUCGCGUGCAAGUUCGAAUCUUGUUCUGGGCACUA
rnacentral:tRNA from 1 species